rnacentral:tRNA from 1 species
GGAGUUGUGUCUCAGUGGUAGACCACUUGCCUAGCAUGUAUGAGGCACUGAAUUCAAUUCUCAGCACUGCA